rnacentral:rRNA from 1 species
UCAAGAAACUUCCACAACGGGCGAAAGCCUGAUGGAGCGACGUCGCGUGAUGGACGAAGUGCUUCGGCACGUAAACAUCUUUUAUGUGGGAUGAAAUUAUUGACAGUACCACAUGAAUAAGGGGCUCCUAACUCUGUGCCAGCAGGAGCGGUAAUACAGAGGCCCCAAGCGUUAUCCGGAAUCACUGGGCGUAAAGGGUGUCGAGGCGGUUGUAUUAGUCGUUCGUAAAAUCUACGAGCUUAACUUGUAGGCGGCGAACGAAACGGUACGACUUGAGGUUUGGAGAGGUGCGUGGAACUCACGGUGUAGGGGUGAAAUCCGUUGAUAUCGUGGGGAACACCAAAGGCGAAGGCAGCGCACUGGCCAAAAUCUGACGCUCACACACGAAAGCUAGGGUAGCGAAGAGGAUUAGAUACCCACGUAGUCCCUGAGCGGGCUGGCAAGGCGCAU